GCUCGUGAUGACUGAGAUUUUUUCACUUUGACCUGAUGUCUCUUGAAAAAACCCAGUGUCUGAGA
ensembl:snoRNA